rnacentral:rRNA from 1 species
UACGAAGGGUGCAAGCGUUACUCGGAAUUACUGGGCGUAAAGGGUGCGUAGGUGGUUUGUUAAGUCUGCUGUGAAAUCCCCGGGCUCAACCUGGGAACUGCGUUUGUGACUGUAUGACUAGAGUACGGUAGAGAGGGGUGGAAUUCCUGGUGUAGCAGUGAAAUGCGUAGAUAUCAGGAGGAACAUCGAUGGCGAAGGCAGCCCCUUGGACCUGUACUGACGCUCAUGCACGAAAGCGUGGGGAGCAAACAGG